rnacentral:rRNA from 1 species
UACGGAGGAUGCAAGCGUUAUCCGGAAUUAUUGGGCGUAAAGAGCGUGUAGGCGGUCCGGUAAGUCAGCUGUGAAAGUCAAGGGCUCAACCCUCGAAUGCCGGUGGAUACUGUCGGGCUUGAGUACGGGAGAGGCGAGUGGAAUUCCUGGUGUAGCGGUGAAAUGCGCAGAUAUCAGGAGGAACACCGAUUGCGAAGGCAGCUCGCUGGAACGUUACUGACGCUGAGACGCGAAAGCGUGGGGAGCAAACAGG